CCUACGAGAGGCAGCAGUGGGGAAUAUUGCGCAAUGGGCGAAAGCCUGACGCAGCGACGCCGCGUGAGGGAUGAAGGUCUUCGGAUCGUAAACCUCUGUCAGCAGGGAAGAACGGUCACUGUGCUAAUCAGCAGUGAAUUGACCGUACCUGCAAAGAAAGCACCGGCUAACUCCGUGCCAGCAGCCGCGGUAAUACGGAGGGUGCGGGCGUUAGUUGGAAUUACUGGGCGUAAGGCGCACGUAGGAGGUAUGUCACUUAAAGGGUGAAGUCCCCUCGUUAAACGUGUGAACUGACUUUGAAACUGGCAAACGGGAGUGUGUGAGAGGAUAGUGGAAUGUCAGGUGUAGGAGUGAAAUCCGUAGAUAUCUGGCGGAACAUCAGUGGCGAAGGCGACUAUCUGGCACAUAACUGACGCUGAGGAGCGAAAGCGUGGGUAGCAAACAGGAUUAGAUACCCUUGUAGUC
rnacentral:rRNA from 1 species